UACGUAGGGGGCAAGCGUUAUCCGGAUUUACUGGGUGUAAAGGGAGCGUAGACGGUUAUGUAAGUCAGAUGUGAAAGCCCAGGGCUCAACCCUGGGACUGCAUUUGAAACUAUGUAACUGGAGUGCAGGAGAGGUAAGUGGAAUUCCUAGUGUAGCGGUGAAAUGCGUAGAUAUUAGGAGGAACACCAGUGGCGAAGGCGGCUUACUGGACUGUAACUGACGUUGAGGCUCGAAAGCGUGGGGAGCAAACAGG
rnacentral:rRNA from 1 species